AUUGAACGCUGGCGGAAUGCCUUACACAUGCAAGUCGAACGGCAGCACGGGAGCAAUCCUGGUGGCGAGUGGCGAACGGGUGAGUAAUACAUCGGAACGUGCCCAAUCGUGGGGGAGUAACGUAGCGAAAGCUACGCUAAUACCGCAUACGAUCUACGGAUGAAAGCAGGGGAGUCGCAAGACCUUGCGCGAAUGGAGCGGCCGAUGGCAGAUUAGGUAGNGGUGAGGUAAAGGCUCACCAAGCCUUCGAUCUGUAGCUGGUCUGAGAGGACGACCAGCCACACUGGGGACUGAGACACGGCCCAGACUCCUACGGGAGGCAGCAGUGGGGAAUUUUGACAAUGGGCGCAAGCCUGAUCCAGCCA
rnacentral:rRNA from 1 species